GACCUGAGACCCAUCUGCAAAUACAACCCUGCCAUCUUGUUCAAGGGAUUCUAUCUGUGGACGAAGAUGGAGAUUUUCACGUUUAGAGAUGACUUUGGAUAAACCCAGUGUGAUAUCAAGGGAUUUGGCACUGAGGUGGACUUCCUUUGCUACUUUUACCAGCUCCAUGGAUAUAUCUUGCCCACUGAAUGAAUUCCCCACAACAACAACUACCUCAUUGCGAAAUGGC
rnacentral:misc_RNA from 1 species